CGACGCUUCUUCCGAUUUCAAUGAAUACAAUAGGAUUUAUGACUACAUAAACUGUUGAGAACAGUUCUAGAUCUGGUCCAAGACGAACUGCUGUAGGUAAUUUAUUAAAA